rnacentral:rRNA from 1 species
AGAGUUUGAUCAUGGCUCAGGACGAACGCUGGCGGUGCGCCUUAUGCAUGCAAGUCGAGCGAAGCUUUUCAGUAGUUUACUACAGAAAAUGACUGAGCGGCGAACGGGUGAGUAACGCGUGAGCAACCUACCUUAGUUACUGGGAUAGCCCGAGGAAACUCGGAUUAAUACCGGAUAUUCUUAUUUAAUCACAUGAUUUUUUAAGGAAAGGUCAGCCGAACUAAGAUGGGCUCGCGUUCUAUCAGCUAGUUGGUAGGGUAAUGGCCUACCAAGGCUACGACGGAUAGCUGGUCUGAGAGGACGAUCAGCCACACUGGGACUGAGACACGGCCCAGACUCCUACGGGAGGCUGCAGCAGGGAAUAUUGCGCAAUGAGCGAAAGCUUGACGCAGCGACACCGCGUGUGGGAUGACGGAUCUAGGUUUGUAAACCACUUUCAGGAGGGAAGAAAAUGACGGUACCUCCACAAGAAGCCCCGGCCAACUACGUGCCAGCAGCCGCGGUAAUACGUAGGGGGCGAGCGUUGUCCGGAUUUAUUGGGCGUAAAGAGCUCGUAGGCGGUUCAACAAGUCGGUCGUGAAAGUUCAGGGCUCAACCCUGAAAUGUCGAUCGAUACUGUUGUGACUAGGAUACGGUAGAGGUGAGUGGGAUUCCGAGUGUAGCGGUGAAAUGCGUAGAUAUUCGGAGGAACGCCAAUUGCGAAGGCAGCUCACUGGGCCGCUAUCGACGCUGANGAGCGAAAGCUAGGGGAGCAAACAGGAUUAGAUACCCUGGUAGUCCUAGCUGUAAACGAUGGAUACUAGACGUANGAAUUG